GUCUUAUUAAUUAUUAUCAGGAACGACUGCUAAGACUGGAUAGGAGACAAGAAGGCAUCUUCUUGUUUUUAAAAGACCUAGCAAUAGGUAUGCUUAGGGAGGAGCUUGCGUCACAUUAGUUAGUUGGUGGGGUAAAGGCCUACCAAGACUAUGAUGUGUAGCCGGGCUGAGAGGUUGAACGGCCACAUUGGGACUGAGACACGGCCCAAACUCCUACGGGAGGCAGCAGUAGGGAAUUUUCGGCAAUGGAGGAAACUCUGACCGAGCAACGCCGCGUGAACGAUGAAGUAUUUCGGUACGUAAAGUUCUUUUAUUAGGGAAGAAUAAAUGAUGGAAAAAUCAUUCUGACGGUACCUAAUGAAUAAGCCCCGGCUAACUAUGUGCCAGCAGCCGCAGUAAUACAUAGGGGGCAAGCGUUAUCCGGAAUUAUUGGGCGUAAAGGGUGCGUAGGCGGUUAAAUAAGUUUAUGGUCUAAGUGCAAUGCUCAACAUUGUGAUGCUAUAAAAACUGUUUAGCUAGAGUAAGAUAGAGGCAAGUGGAAUUCCAUGUGUAGUGGUAAAAUGCGUAAAUAUAUGGAGGAACACCAGUAGCGAAGGCGGCUUGCUGGGUCUUUACUGACGCUGAGGCACGAAAGCGUGGGGAGCAAACAGGAUUAGAUACCCUGGUAGUCCACGCCGUAAACGAUGAGUACUAAACGUUGGGUAAAACCAGUGUUGAAGUCAACACAUUAAGUACUCCGCCUGAGUAGUACGUACGCAAGUAUGAAACUUAAAGGAAUUGACGGGACUCCGCACAAGCGGUGGAUCAUGUUGUUUAAUUCGAAGGUACCCGAAAAACCUUACCAGGUCUUGACAUGCUUCUGCAAAGCUGUAGAAACACAGUGGAGGUUAUCAGUUGCACAGGUGGUGCAUGGUUGUCGUCAGCUCGUGUCGUGAGAUGUUGGGUUAAGUCCCGCAACGAGCGCAACCCUUAUUGUUAGUUACCAGCACGUAAUGGUGGGGACUUUAGCAAGACUGCCAGUGAUAAAUUGGAGGAAGGUGGGGACGACGUCAAGUCAUCAUGCCCCUUAUGACCUGGGCUACAAACGUGAUACAAUGGCUGUUACAAAGGGUAGCUGAAGCGCAAGUUUUUGGCGAAUCUCAAAAAAACAGUCUCAGUUCGGAUUGAAGUCUGCAACUCGACUUCAUGAAGUUGGAAUCGCUAGUAAUCGCGAAUCAGCAUGUCGCGGUGAAUACGUUCUCGGGGUUUGUACACACCGCCCGUCAAUCA
rnacentral:rRNA from 1 species